GGCGUGACCCCCUCGCCCCCGUCGCACACGGCGGGGCGGUUCAGCACCCAGGUGCGCAAGGAGGGCCUCACCCCUGCCCGCGGCCUCCCACGCCCUCCUUGGGCCUCUCCUUUCGACCCCCUUACCCUCUCCCUGGGAGACUCUACCAGACCUUCGAGGCUGCGUGUCCCAGUCAGCUAAAAAGGAGGCCCCGCCCGCGGCACCUGGUAGCUCCUCGGGCGCUGCGGGUUCGACGCGGCAACAGCUGCUGUUUUCUCUCCUGGAUUCGUAUGAGGAGACUGUCCUUCCUGUUUCGCAGAUGAGGAAACUGAGGCUUAGAGAAGUUUGGCAAAUUGGCUAAGUUCCUACAGCUAAUUGUGGGAUUAGUGAUAUGCUUUUCUAAAGAGUAGAAAAGUCGAAGAUGUCUAGACAGAACUUAGUGGCUUUGACAGUGACUACCCUUCUGGGUGUGGCUGUAGGGGGGUUUGUCCUCUGGAAAGGCAUCCAGCGCCGCCGAAGGAGUAAAACGAGUCCUGUGACCCAACAGCCACAGCAGAAAGUGCUGGGCAGUAGAGAGCUGCCCCCUCCAGAAGAUGAUCAGCUGCACUCCAGUGCCCCCAGAUCCUCGUGGAAGGAACGGAUCCUUAAAGCAAAGGUGGUGACGGUGUCUCAGGAGGCAGAGUGGGAUCAAAUCGAGCCCUUGCUUAGAAGUGAAUUAGAAGAUUUUCCAGUACUUGGAAUUGACUGUGAGUGGGAACGUCAUGGUACCUACCUCCAGUGGCUUUUCUAAGGAUUCAAAUAGAUCACCCCCAUAAAGGAUUCAGCACAGUGUGAACAUAUAGUAGUAAAUUUGGAAGGCAAAGCCAGCCCUCUGUCACUUCUACAAAUGGCCUCCCCAAGUGGCCUGUGUGUCUUGGUUCGCCUGCCCAAGCUAAUCUGUGGAGGAAAAACACUACCAAGAACGUUAUUGGAUAUUUUGGCAGAUGGCACCAUUUUGAAAGUUGGAGUGGGAUGCUCAGAAGAUGCCAGCAAGCUUCUGCAGGAUUAUGGCCUCGUUGUUAGGGGGUGCCUGGACCUCCGAUACCUAGCCAUGCGGCAGAGAAACAAUUUGCUCUGUAAUGGGCUUAGCCUGAAGUCCCUCGCUGAGACUGUUUUGAACUUUCCCCUUGACAAGUCCCUUCUACUUCGUUGCAGCAACUGGGAUGCUGAGACUCUCACAGAGGACCAGGUAAUUUAUGCUGCCAGGGAUGCCCAGAUUUCAGUGGCUCUCUUUCUUCAUCUUCUUGGAUACCCUUUCUCUAGGAAUUCACCUGGAGAAAAAAACGAUGACCACAGUAGCUGGAGAAAAGUCUUGGAAAAAUGCCAGGGUGUGGUCGACAUCCCAUUUCGAAGCAAAGGAAUGAGCAGAUUGGGAGAAGAGGUUAAUGGGGAAGCAACAGAAUCUCAGCAGAAGCCAAGAAAUAAGAAGUCUAAGAUGGAUGGGAUGGUGCCAGGCAACCACCAAGGGAGAGACCCCAGAAAACAUAAAAGAAAGCCUCUGGGGGUGGGCUAUUCUGCCAGAAAAUCACCUCUUUAUGAUAACUGCUUUCUCCAUGCUCCUGAUGGACAGCCCCUCUGCACUUGUGAUAGAAGAAAAGCUCAGUGGUACCUGGACAAAGGCAUUGGUGAGCUGGUGAGUGAAGAGCCCUUUGUGGUGAAGCUACGGUUUGAACCUGCAGGAAGGCCCGAAUCUCCUGGAGACUAUUACUUGAUGGUUAAAGAGAACCUGUGUGUAGUGUGUGGCAAGAGAGACUCCUACAUUCGGAAGAACGUGAUUCCACAUGAGUACCGGAAGCACUUCCCCAUCGAGAUGAAGGACCACAACUCCCACGAUGUGCUGCUGCUCUGCACCUCCUGCCAUGCCAUUUCCAACUACUAUGACAACCAUCUGAAGCAGCAGCUGGCCAAGGAGUUCCAGGCCCCCAUCGGCUCUGAGGAGGGCUUGCGCCUGCUGGAAGAUCCUGAGCGCCGGCAGGUGCGUUCUGGGGCCAGGGCCCUGCUCAACGCGGAGAGCCUGCCUACUCAGCGAAAGGAGGAGCUGCUGCAAGCACUCAGAGAGUUUUAUAACACAGACGUGGUCACAGAGGAGAUGCUUCAAGAGGCUGCCAGCCUGGAGACCAGAAUCUCCAAUGAAAACUAUGUUCCUCACGGGCUGAAGGUGGUGCAGUGUCACAGCCAGGGUGGCCUGCGCUCCCUCAUGCAGCUGGAGAGCCGCUGGCGUCAGCACUUCCUGGACUCCAUGCAGCCCAAGCACCUGCCCCAGCAGUGGUCAGUGGACCACAACCAUCAGAAGCUGCUCCGGAAAUUCGGGGAAGAUCUUCCCAUCCAGCUGUCUUGAUAGCUGCUUUCCUCCCAGUUAGGACAAGUGGGAAGCUGGAGCCAAGGUUGAAGAGUCACCUCUUCCCAUUUUAGUACAUCAUUAAUUGUCAAAGCCUGUGUGACACAACUCAGAAUACUAACCUAGACUAAUCCCAGGAUGCUUCUGCUGGAGCAAAGAUAUUGUUUGAAGGAGAGUUUAUGGUUUUGGAUUUUAAACGGGCAGGGUCUUUUUUCCUCUCAUUUUUGUGGACAAGAGAGGCCUUCGCCUUUAUUUUUACUCUCCCUCUUCUGCUGUCCCUGUGCAGAGGAAAAAUGAAGAAUUCUCCCAGAAGUGACUUGUCAAGACUUAAAAAAAAUGUUUUUAAUGCAUUUCUUCCUUGUCUAGUGCCUCGGUUUAUCUCUAACAGGGGCUGUCCAGUAUAUCGGUCCUGUUAGGAGGGGAGAAAAAGUUCUUCCAAAGGCUGGAGAAGUGAACAAGGAGUCAAAUUUAUUUUCCCAAUUCAACUUCAUAAUUAUCAUUUCUUUGGCUUCAUGCUCUCCCGUAACUCAUGUGGUUGGGAUCCAUCCCAUCUGGGUCACUUCAGUCUACUUCACGUACUUGAAAAGGCUUUCCUUUACACUUCCAGGACCAAACAGCAACUUCCUGCCACACACUUCCACCCUAUCACUGGGAGAAAUCCUUUUCUGGACAUGAGCCUUUGACCUGGGUGGGGCAGAAAGAACCACAAACUCCAUCUCCCAAUAGAACUUUGAAAUUCACUCAGCUUUUCCUUUCAUGCUGUUUGUUGCCUGCUUGUUGCACUCCUCCUGCCCCAGAACUGCAAGAUUUUUAGCUUCACCCCUUUCUGAGAGUAAUGUUAUCUUUUAUCAGAAUCAGUAUCAGUUCCCCUGUAUUCUGUGCUUCAUCGAAUUUGCAAGACUGACCUCUUUUAAGCAUUUAAUUCACUCCCAGAGUCAUCUGGUCAGGUUGCAAUAUGAGGACUUCUCUGUCUCCUCUGAAGCCUGGGACACUGAGCUUACUUAAUACAUUAGAUGUUCAAAAGAGGAGCGUUGUUUCAUCUUUCAAAAUGUUAGGCCAUUACUUUGAGUAUAAAAUCGACUUAUUAAUGAUUAGUAAUUUUUCUAAAGUAUUGGGAAAACUUUCUUAUUUUAUAAGAUCUUAACAAGCUUAAAAAAGAAUUUUAUGACCAGAAUCCAACAAGAGCUCUAUUUUGGAAUUGUGCCCAAGUUGGUGAUGUUUACUCUAAAAUUAAUAAUAAAACUACUUGUAAGCACAAGGCUCACUGGAUGUAAAUGUAAAACUUCGCGACUUUAUAAAACUGGCAUUCCUAGGGGAGGGGCUAUUUAUCCUACAGGUCCCUGCCUCCUGGCAGUGCCAUGGUAUGUGUGCAUGGAUAUACCAGACACAGUCACCAUCGGCCAUCAGUAGCAGCCCAUGAACCCACGUGCACAUCCUGCAUCUUGCUCUUCUGACCCUUCAUUCCCACUUGUCUUCAGGCAGGCAUUUCUGGGAUCUAAACUAGAAAUCCUUGAAAACAAAUAGUACCAGCCACUUUGAGGAAUGUGCAUUCACUGUAGUGGGUUAUUAUGGGGUCUCUGCCUCCUGGCUGUGUUAUGCGGAGCCCAGGAGUGGAGGAGAGCCGUGGAAAUAGACAGGGAGAGGCUGGUACUUGGGUUGUGGUAAUAGUCAGGCUUGCCACAAGAGGGCACUCAUAGAUUUGUUUUUAUAUUCAUUCUUGAGAAAAAAGCAACUGGUUACUGAACGUAACUCAUGACUUAUGUUUCAAAUUUUGCAUAGCUGAUUUUAAGUCAUUUUGAUAGCUUUGCAAGAAAAAUUUUUCCUUUGAAACAAGGGAGUAGGGCUGUUUCAUUUUCUUUCCUUCUAAUCCUCAUGCCAAGAGGUGAGAAACACUUAAGGUCAUUUAAGGUGCUAGGGAAAGGGUUUUCCCAUGGAGCUUUCUGUGAGGCGCAGUAAAAUAGAGCCAGCAGCAAAGUAGAGGAAAAAGCCAGACUGCGUCACACAAGAUUUCUCAUCCUUUUCAGGAGAGAGUCACUGUGUAGAUUUGAAUCUUUUUUCUUUGAGUCUGCUUUGAACUUUAGCAGGCUUUUCCUAAGACUGACAAUUGUCGUCUUAAAUCAGAGAUUUGAGGGUAGACUUAUUUUAUGGCAAAUGUCUAUUUUUCUGAUAUAAAAGUAACAAUGCUCAUUACAGAAGAAUCUAAACAAAGAAUAAAAAUUAGCCAUCUUCUCUCCAUCUAAAACAGAGCUAAACUUUGCUGAUAUGUUUAUGAAUUUCCUUUCAGUAUUAAAAAGUGCAUAUAAGGUGUAUAUUUACACAAAAUUGAAGGUCAUACAUAGAUACAGGUUGGUAUCCUAACUUUACCCUCUCACUGAUUAACAUGGUAUCACGAGUAACUUCCUAUGUUUUUAAAUCUUUGAAAAUAGAUUUCUAGUGGUUCUACCUUAUCCAUCCCCACACUGUUGAAAAUUUUGGUUGUUUCAGAUACUUUUAUUAUCAAUGAUGAUGUGAUAAAGUUUCUUGUAUAUAUCUCUUUGGCUCUAUCUUUGGUAAUUUCUUAAGAAUGGAAUCUUAGAAUUGGACUGUGAAGAGGGGGAUUCACAUUGCUGGGGCUAAGUACAAAUUGACAUCACCUUUUAGGAAUGAAAUGCUUCUCUUUGACCCUUUAGCUCCAGUGUCCCAGCAUAGUCACUGGGCUUCAUAGGAGUAGCAGUGAGAGGACAGUGUCACAGCAAGGGCCUCUCUGCAUGCUCCCUGAUCAUUGUGUUUGCAGGUUCAGCAUUUCUUCUUGAGUCCUUCCCUUCUUCCAACCUUAUUGCCUCAUUUCCCCCUUGUAGUCAAUGUUUUUUGGAAACACUGUUUAUUUUAAAAUAAAAAUGUAAAAAAAAGGUAAAAAAAUAAAAUUUUAAAUUUUAAAA